UUGAAGUGAAAAUGAUAAUUCAAAAUUUGAUUUUCGUUUUCACUUUUUAUCUUACUAUGGAGAGUGCCCAAAGCUCAACCGUAGCUGACACCGGCGUCGCUGGUGGUGACUUAAAUGUCACCGAUGCUGAUAUAAGCGUUUCCGGAACGAAGCAUUGUGCUGACCGUCCUCCGCAAAGUGACUGACGUACUUGGCAAUGUUGGAAUGAAACAUUUUUUCCUUUUGAUAACAACACUUUGGUGUCAUGGCAAGAUGCUGUCGCUAUUUGCAGUGGUAAGGGAAUGUACCUUGUCAAAAUUAAUGACAAAGCCGAAAUGGAUUUCGUAAAUCUACAAGUUGUGACGAACA